AACGCACCUUGCGCCCUUUGGUAUUCCGAAGGGCAUGCCUGUUUGAGUGUCGUGAAACUCUCAACCCCCUCGUUUUGUAAUGAAGCUGAGUGUGGGCUUGGAUUGUGGUCGUCUGUCGGUCCCUUGGGAUCGGCUCGACUGAAAUACAUCAGCGUACCUGCACUUCGGUAGCAGUAGCUUAUCUUAGCGUGAUAUUACUAUUCGCUUAGAUUACUACAUCGCAUUAUUCCGAGUACAGUGACGCUCUAUAGAGCCUUUAUCAGGAGACUGAUAAAUACUUAAACUCAAGACCUCAGAUCAGGCAGGACUACCCGCUGAACUUAA
rnacentral:misc_RNA from 1 species